AUUGAACGCUGGCGGCAGGCCUAACACAUGCAAGUCGAACGGUAGCACAGAGAGCUUGCUCUCGGGUGACGAGUGGCGGACGGGUGAGUAAUGUCUGGGAAACUGCCCGAUGGAGGGGGAUAACUACUGGAAACGGUAGCUAAUACCGCAUAACGUCUUCGGACCAAAGUGGGGGACCUUCGGGCCUCACACCAUCGGAUGUGCCCAGAUGGGAUUAGCUAGUAGGUGGGGUAAUGGCUCACCUAGGCGACGAUCCCUAGCUGGUCUGAGAGGAUGACCAGCCACACUGGAACUGAGACACGGUCCAGACUCCUACGGGAGGCAGCAGUGGGGAAUAUUGCACAAUGGGCGCAAGCCUGAUGCAGCCAUGCCGCGUGUAUGAAGAAGGCCUUCGGGUUGUAAGGUACUUUCAGCGGGGAGGAAGGCGAUGGAGUUAAUAGCUUCAUCGAUUGACGUUACCCGCAGAAGAAGCACCGGCUAACUCCGUGCCAGCAGCCGCGGUAA
rnacentral:rRNA from 1 species